UGGGAAAGCCUUUGCGGCAUGGGAUGGGGUCGCGUCCUAUCAGCUUGAUGGCGGGGUAACGGCCCACCAUGGCUUCGACGGGUAGCCGGCCUGAGAGGGCGACCGGCCACAUUGGGACUGAGAUACGGCCCAGACUCCUACGGGAGGCAGCAGUGGGGAAUAUUGCACAAUGGGCGCAAGCCUGAUGCAGCGACGCCGCGUGAGGGAUGGAGGCCUUCGGGUUGUAAACCUCUUUUGUUAGGGAGCAAGGCAUUUUGUGUUGAGUGUACCUUUCGAAUAAGCACCGGCUAACUACGUGCCAGCAGCCGCGGUAAUACGUAGGGUGCAAGCGUUAUCCGGAAUUAUUGGGCGUAAAGGGCUCGUAGGCGGUUCGUCGCGUCCGGUGUGAAAGUCCAUCGCUUAACGGUGGAUCCGCGCCGGGUACGGGCGGGCUUGAGUGCGGUAGGGGAGACUGGAAUUCCCGGUGUAACGGUGGAAUGUGUAGAUAUCGGGAAGAACACCA
rnacentral:rRNA from 1 species